UUAUAGGUUAAAGGAGACAGAUCAACCAGAUAUGCGUGGACCUUGUUUGGACUGUGAAUCAAACCAACUGUAAAAAGGUAUCCUGAGACAAAUACAGAAAAUUAAACACGGACUAGGCAUUGGAUGAUUUUAGGAAAUUAUUGUUAAGUUUGUUGAGUAUGAAUAAUGGUAUUAUGAAAAAUUACCCGGUACAGAUAUAUACUAAAGUAUUUGCAGAAGAAAUGAUGUCAAGAUUUGCUUUAAUAUUCUCUACACUAUCUCCCACAAAAAAACUGGGGGCAAGAUGAAAUGAGAAGGGUAGCAUGACAGACUUGAUACUUGCUGAAGUUGAGUGAUGGGCACAUGGGUGUCCACUAAACUAUUUUUGUGUGUUUGAUUUUUCCAUAAUAAAAAGCUUUAAAACAUACAAUUUUUAAAAGGACUCCUUUAUGAAGUAAAUUGGAGCUUGACAGAAUAUCAAUUUCCUGCAGAGAAACAAAAAUAUGGGCUCAAGUGAAGUUUUGGUUAUCAUGGGGAUCUACUCACCCUUCCUACCUUCAGAGCCUUUCCCAGCCUACCAGGGACCACUGGACUGCCAGGGAAUUCCCCAAGAAAGUUCUGAAAAUGAGUGACUAGCACACCUCUACAUGAAUAGGUUCUGAACUUGAAGGAGGGUAACAUUUUCCAUUUUCCACACAAUAGGUUCCACACCCUUCAGAUGUCUUUCCUUGCAAAGCAGAGGAGUGACAUGGUGGCCUUCACUGACAGAUUACCUGGAAGCCAGCCCAGUUGUAACCCACACUUCCCACUGAUAACUGCUGCUGCUAGCACAGUUCCCCUGGGAGAAAAGAAGAGUCUUCUGUCACAGCAGAAUAGACCAGAAAACAAGAGCUCUGCCAACAUCGACAUUAACAAGUACUGGAAUACAGGUUUUACUCACCUGAAGAUGACAGCUAAUAUAAAGCCUGCCUAGCUUCCAAGAUUCUUUAUUGCCUCUUCCAUUUCUCCUAUAUCUAAGUUAUCAGGAUUCAGAUUCCCCACGGCCUUCCGUGAUAUUAAGGAGAUCUACGAUUACAGGAUAAAGGUACCUUUUCUACUGCCA